GUUCAGAUAGAAUGGGAUUUAGCCCCAUGUGGGUCAGCGUGCCUGUUGCCUAGGAAAGGGCACCUUGGACGCCUCUCAGUUGGAAGAUAUUAUCUCCAGAUGGAGUCCUCUGCCUGCUGGCAAAGUCACCAGCAUUAUUUGUCAGCACAAAUUUGGAGGCAGAACCAACCCUCGUAAUAGCGUAUCUCAUGCUGCUAUCAAUUUUCCGCCAGAAGAACAUUUUGGGACACAAAGUCCUUUGUCUAUUUCCAGAAGCUCAAUUCAAUGACAUUACAUGAAUGACUACAACACUAUAGCAUGUUCUGCACCGUUUCAAAUUGUAACCUAAAAAAAGAGAAGAACUUGGAACUCCGCCAGAGCAUAAUGAUUUCAGCUCUUAAGAAAAUCCAGCAACCAUUCCGCUACUCUCAAUAUUUUCUUGCUGUGGAAAUUUAAGAAUAGGCUCUAAUCAAAUAGCACCCCCAUCCUCCAUUUUGCCAUGGUUCCUGUUACUAACCAGCCUCCCAUGUCUGUUUUAGGUUAAAAAAUAAAUAAGUUUACAAUACGUUUUUUUU